AUUGAACGCUGGCGGCAGGCCUAACACAUGCAAGUCGGACGAGCGGCGGACGGGUGAGUAAUGUCUGGGGAACUGCCUGAUGGAGGGGGCUAACUACUGGAAACGGUAGCUAAUACCGCAUACCAUCAGAUGUACCCAUAUUGGAUUAGCUUGUAGGGGGGGUAACGGCUCACCAGGGCGACGAUCCCUAGCUGGUCUGAGAGGAUGACCAGCCAGCAUGGGACUGAGACACGGACCAGACUCCGACGGGAUGCAGCAGUGGGGAAUAUUGCACAAUGGGAGAAAGCCUGAUGCAGCCAGGCCGCGUGGAUGAAGAAGGCCUUCGGGUUGUAAAGUACUUUCAGUCGGGAGGCGUUACCGACAGAAGAAGCACCGGCUAACUCCGUGCCAGCAGCCGCGGUAAUAC
rnacentral:rRNA from 1 species